rnacentral:rRNA from 1 species
UAGGGAAUCUUCCACAAUGGACGAAAGUCUGAUGGAGCAACGCCGCGUGAGUGAAGAAGGGUUUCGGCUCGUAAAGCACUGUUGUAUGGGAAGAACAGCUAGAAUAGGAAAUGAUUUUAGUUUGACGGUACCAUACCAGAAAGGGACGGCUAAAUACGUGCCAA